rnacentral:misc_RNA from 1 species
UCCUGGUUAACCCAGGCAGUCUCGUUAGAGUGCCCACCAUUACGUGCUGGCAAAUAACGACAAGGGUUGCGCUCGUUGCGGGACUUAACCCAACACCUCACGGCACGAGCUGACGACAGCCAUGCAGCACCUGUGUAUCUGUCUCUUGCGAGAAAAUUACAUCUCUGUAAUCGUCACAUACAUGUCAAGUCCUGGUAAGGUUCUUCGCGUUGCAUCGAAUUAAACCACAUGCUCCACUGCUUGUGCGGGUCCCCGUCAAUUCUUUUGAGUUUCACCCUUGCGAGCGUACUCCCCAGGCGGUAUACUUAUCGCGUUAGCUACGGCACAAUGGGGGUUGAGUCCCACUACGCCAAGUAUACAUAGUUUAAGGCAAGGACUAC